rnacentral:rRNA from 1 species
AGUGAACGCUGGCGGUAGGCCUAACACAUGCAAGUCGAACGGCAGCACAGUAAGAGCGUGCGCUUACGGGGGGCGAAUGGCGGACGGGUGAGGAAUGCAUCGUGAUCUACUUUUUCGGGUGAGAUAACGUAGGUGAACUUACUCUAAGACAGCAUACGACCUACGGGGGAGGGCGGGGGAUCGUCUGACCGGUCGGGGUUGGAUUAGCCGAUGUCGGAUUAGCUAGUGGGCGGGGUAAAGGCCCACCAAGUCGACGAUCCGUAGCUGGUCUGAGAGGAUGAUAAGCCACCCUGGAACUGAGCCACGGUCCAGACUCCUAAGGGAGGCCGCAGUGGGGAAUAUUGGACAAUGGGCGCAAGCCUGAUCCAGCCAUCCCGAGUGGGUGACGACGGCCUUCGGGUUGUAAAGACCUUUUGUUGGGAAAGAACAGCAGCCGGUUAAUACCACGCUGUUCUGACGGUACCCAAAGAAUAAGCACCGGCUAACUUCGUG